ensembl:lncRNA
UUUUAUUUAGCAUUACGUGGUGAAACAUUUAGCUCUUCAUUUUACUUCUGUGACGAGACAAGACGAGUGUCUCUCUCUCUAUCUGUGUGUGUGUAUGGUACACGUUAGUUUUUUGGGUGAUCUUCGUGUGCACCACGUGACCACAGGAGUAUUUAAAUAAAGGGCGGCAUCUUCGAACAGAUGCGGUCGAGUCGAGCGGAUUUUCUCUUUAUAUGAAGCGUCGGAAUCACUGGAGAUCUACAAAUCCUUGCUGAUCAUGAAGAACCGGUCGUCUUUACCAUGGCUGGUGCUUUCUGUACUCUUCGCUGCGAUACCUCCAGCAAAACCAGGCCCCUGUCCAACAUGUGAAUCUGGCUAUGGCAGGGUCUCUGGAAGCUGCAAGUGCAAGCCAUGCACAGCAGAGUAUUUCUGGUCUCUGAGGAAUGGACAGGGCAAUUGUUAUAAGUGUACAACAUCUUGUACUGCUAAGAAAAACCUGAUCCAAGUACACCCCUGCAAUCAGACAACUGACCGUAGGUGCCAGUGCAAACCCGGCUACUACUGCCCAAGUCCAGUGAACUUGACCUGCAGAAGGGACUGUGAGCCGUGCACCAAUGGCUUCACCAGCACAUCUAAUCUACAGACAUCCUGUCAGCAGUUCACUGACUGUGCCAGUUUAGGGAAGGUGGUGAUUAAAGAAGGAUCGCCAACUGCGGACCGUGUGUGUGGACAUCCGACAACUCACAAGAUCCACAGCAUCCAAGCAGUCAAUCGGCCCAUCUCUCAAAACCAGGUGUCUGAAAUUUCGACAGUCCUUCCUAAGCUAAACCCAACAAGCGCAACGCCAGACACAUCGAACACCACGACUCAGACACUCCCAUCAUCUAUCCUCAAGCCCAACAGCACCCGAGCAGUCUAUAAUUCAGUCCACACGGUGUAUCAGGUCUCUCAGAACCUGGACAGGUCUUUAUCCUUUGAGACGACAGCUCCUUCAGGCGUGAGUGCCGACUUCAGAAUGACUCGAGAAACCAAGGGCCCUGUUCCACCAUCUGAGCCCCUUUUGAAGACCACUUGGAUCUUUUUGCUUCUGCUGCUUGUGUCCCUGUGUCUGGUGACAUGCGUGUCCUUAAAGUGCAAAAGUGGAGCCAUCAAGAACAAACUCGAGUGGGCAGGUCUGGCAUUUGAAAGAUACCAGCCCGUGUUGUCCACAGCCCACCCCAACCCGCCCGUCGAUAUUGUGGUUCCUGUGAGCGAUGUCACCGACACUGUUAGAGAAGUCCAGGGUCAGGGGUCAUUCCCUGGGAAAAAUCAGAAGGUCACCAUGGAGCACGUCGGGAAAGCGGAUGGCAUCAACAACACUGUUGGGUCUAUUUUCAUCUACUCCCCCGGGAUGGUGAUCCUCGGCUCGAACUCGAACGAGAAAAAAGAGGAGGCGGAGACGGGCACAGAAGACAUCGGCGAAGACACCUGUCUCAUGAGCGUGCCUCAGCAGGAAUCCAGCUCCGAAGAAGACUUCGUCAGAAUGGCUACACAGGAAGAGUUUGGCAAGGAGCUGAGCAUUCCAGUUCCGGCCACGAGCAAAUGAAAUGUCCGGGCCUGAACACAGACGUCGGCUCAAGCAAAGGAAUAUAUGAACCAGGAUGGGGCCUUACAAGUCACGGAGCCUCUUUGCUGGCCCGUGAAGUGUAGAAAACUUGUCCUGUUUCAGCAGCGAGGCUGUGAAUAGGGCUGAGUUUGUUUGUAUAGCACUGUGACUUUCAGGGUUUUUUCUUUCUCAGUGUGGGAGGCUGUGCGAAGACAGUGACGGAAUAAGAAAAACUCCCAGGUUGCUAUAGUGAUAAGAUGUACUGUAAAUAUUAAUAUAUUAGAAUAUUAUGAUAUAACAAUAUAAUUAGAAAUAUCAGUCUAUUUUAUUUUAUUUUUACAGUCAUUAGACACCUUUGUGUUUGAGUACAGCUUUACCUGUGAGUUGGACAGACAGACACAGAGACAGGUGGGCCAACAGGCCGUGUUUUACUGAUGAAGUGUGGGUGCACAAGCACGCAGAGCUAAAAAUACCUCAAUGUGGGAUAAAAAGACUGCUGAAUGUCAGCGGCAUUCACUUUAACCUGCAUGUUUCAGUCACGUAUUACUGUGCAUGUCCCGGCAGGACCCAAUGAGCUGCUGUUCUGUAUUACUGUGCAGUUGUCUAUUUUUCUUUUCAAGCUGUUCAGAUUUCUAUCAAUUCAUUUGCUAGGGUUUAUUAUAAUCCAAAGCAUCUUACAGUCGAGGGAAAUAAGUAUUGAACACGUCAGCAUUUUAUUCAGUAAAUAUAUUUCCAACGAGGCUAGUCACAUGAAAUUUUCAACAGAUAUCGGUAUUAACUCAAGAAAUCCGGAAAUAUAAAGACUUCACAACAUUAAACUCCAUAAAUAAGGUUAUGUGUAAUAAAGUGGAAUGACACAGGAAAAAAGUAUUGAACACGUUAAGAAAAAGCAGUUCUCCAAGGCAAAGUAAGGCAAGGAACCAGUUGAAAUCCGUAAGUAAUUAUACCCCUAUCUGUGCAAAUUAAUAUCUGCUGGGUUAGUACAUUGAUGGUCUAUAAAAAGGCUUUUCGUGUCACACAAGAAACAUCUCACGAUGGGUAAAAACCAAGAGGUCUCCCAAGACUUUUGCAACAUUAUUGUUACUAAACAUAUUGAUGGAAUCAGAUACAGAGCACCAUUGAGUUAAUACUGGUGUCUGGUGAAAAUUUCAUGUGAAUAGCCUCAUGUAAUAUAAUUAAUAUAUAAAUAUAAUAUAUAAAUAUAUUUACAGAAAAAUUUUUUGACACAUCCAAUACUUAUUUCCCCCACUGGAAUUCAAAGGAACUUCAUCACUGAGUCAUCAGGCAUCAGCAUCCCAUCACAGGAGCACUGAUGUUAAAACACUUCUUUAGAAGUUAACAUGAAGUUAUUUUGAUUUUACUUGGAACCCUUUUCCAGGUCUUCCACAUUUCCUCAGGCAAUUUAUCGUGUUUAUUCUUAUCUACUAAUAAGGGAAUACAUGGCACAAUGUCGUGCUGUUGUAGCAAAAUAAUCGACUAUAACAGCACGUCCUGAAGUGUUUUUUUAUUCCGCUUCCAUCACAGCAACUUGCCAUAUGAUUGUCAUCUACUAAAGAAUCACACCUCAUACUUUUUUUUUAAUCCGUUUUCAGUUACAGUUAUUGUGGUAGAACACUCGUCGCCUCAACAGACAAGAAACCGCAAAGCAUAAAACCUCCUCUGUUCCAAGGACGUUCCUGUUACGGCUUUACCUGACUGUUGCAAAGUGCUGACACUGGAGACUCCUUCCAUAAUCGUGAAAUGGAAGAAAACUUCAUAUUUACGAUUACACUGUAAAGACAUUACAAAUGCUGUGACUUUGCCUGUUGUUGAUCUUCAUGCAAAGGGGAAAUGUAUUUCAGUUCUGGAAAGUCUGUAGUUUUCAGACCUAGUCAAAAUUUCACCAUGUGAAGGAUUUCCCCAAGUCUACACACACACACACACACAUACACACAGAGGCUGGUGGUUCAGUCAUUUGUUCAUUUGAAACACACCUUCUCUGUGUGUAAAUAUCGGGGAGCGUUACAUAUCAGCUCACUUUACUACGUGAGCAAAAACAUGAGCACUUUGCACACAUAAAGCUACAUUGCUUUAAAAAGAUGUCCAGGAUUAUUAGAUGAUGACGUACUGUACUCGGACAUUUAUUGCUUCAGGACCUGUGUUAAACUAGCUAAUUUAGCUACUGUUCAUGACAAAUGAAAGUUUGUAUGUUUAUUGUUAGAUUUCCAUAGGCUUAGCUGUUGUUAAAUAAACCACUGAGAAUACAUUGAUGCAAUUUUAACCUGUAACAAAUGCGAUCUAGUUAACUAGUAGUGACCUAGCUGGCUAGUGAGAAGGGUAGUUAGCUAGCUGGUUAGCUAGUGUUCAUGAUGAUUGUAAUGACAUUUGAGGAUAAAGUCCAGUUCACACCAGACAUGUUCCUGAAGGUUUGUUUUUGUUUUGGUUUUUUUUAAAGUUGCCCGUUUCACAAAACAGAACAUUCUUCAUUUUAAUCAUCGUUGUGAGGUUUGUUUUUAAUGUGCGGAGAAAUCUAUCCUGCUGCGUUUUUGUUGUUGUUGGGUUUUUUGGUUUUUGGUUUUUUUUUUUUUACAUGGUGUUUCUUUUCACUUGUGCAAAUGAAUAAAGCCAAAGUGUAAACUCCAUACAGACCGCUGUUUCACUUUCUGUAAAAGAUUUUAAAUGUAUAACAUACAACGUUAUAACGUAAAUAGAUUGCUUGUUUACUACUAUCUCAUAUUACAUUUUUAAGUAAACUGUUGUAACUACAAAUUUACACGAUCUGAAUUGCCAUCGACCGCUGGUGCACAUGAAGUGCACAAGCUGUGUGAAUUGGACAGAAAGCUACGUUUACUAUUAUUAUUUAGUAAACUACACUUACUACUAUUAUUAUUAUUAUUAUUAUUAUGUUUGCACUACAAGGAAGUUUCCGGUGUUAAAUUCUAGUAAAGAGAGUGCCGAUCGAAACUCUGACUUCAAAAAUCCCUCUCAUGUCUGCAUGUGUCAAAUGUAACCUAGCUUACGAGCAAUUACGUAACUUGACUAGAUAUUUAAGGAAAGAAGGAGGUACGUAAGGGUGUGGUUAGUUUUCAUAUUAAUGCAUAUUCAUAACCCUGGGAUUUUUCAAGCAGGUAGAAGCUGUAGAAGUGUUUCUAGAAACUGUUUAGUAAUAUCUUUUUUUUUUUUUUUU